rnacentral:rRNA from 1 species
ACUCAAAGGAAUUGACGGGGGCCCGCACAAGCGGCGGAGCAUGCGGAUUAAUUCGAUGCAACGCGAAGAACCUUACCUGGGUUUGACAUGGCCGCAAAACCGGCAGAGAUGUCGGGUCCUUCGGGGGCGGUCACAGGUGGUGCAUGGCUGUCGUCAGCUCGUGUCGUGAGAUGUUGGGUUAAGUCCCGCAACGAGCGCAACCCUCGUUCGAUGUUGCCAGCGCGUUAUGGCGGGGACUCAUCGAAGACUGCCGGGGUCAACUCGGAGGAAGGUGGGGAUGACGUCAAGUCAUCAUGCCCCUUAUGUCCAGGGCUUCACGCAUGCUACAAUGGCCGGUACAAUGGGCUGCGAUACCGUGAGGUGGAGCGAAUCCCAAAAAGCCGGUCUCAGUUCGGAUCGGGGUCUGCAACUCGACCCCGUGAAGUCGGAGUCGCUAGUAAUCGCAGAUCAGCAACGCUGCGGUGAAUACGUUCCCGGGCCUUGUACACACCGCCCGU